UACGGAGGGGGCUAGCGUUGUUCGGAAUUACUGGGCGUAAAGCGUACGUAGGCGGCUUUGUAAGUUAGAGGUGAAAGCCUGGGGCUCAACUCCAGAAUUGCCUUUAAGACUGCAUCACUUGAACACGGGAGAGGUGAGUGGAAUUCCGAGUGUAGAGGUGAAAUUCGUAGAUAUUCGGAAGAACACCAGUGGCGAAGGCGGCUCACUGGACCGUUGUUGACGCUGAGGUGCGAAAGCGUGGGGAGCAAACAGG
rnacentral:rRNA from 1 species